UGAAGUCCCUGGGGAGGGGGCACGGCUGGGAGUCCCCAGAUGUGAGGGCGCAGUGAUGUCCCCGGGGAGGGGGCACGGCUGGGAGUCCCCAGUGGCCCGACUGCAGAAGCAGAUAGCAGAGCCGGUGUUUCACCUGGAUGAACAGAAACCCCCAGAGGAAAGACCACUUCCUCCCUCCAAACCCGCCUGGCCCUGCUGGGUGAGCGACUGCUCAGUGUCCCGGGAAGGUCUCCCAGAAACUGGGGACCCUGGGGCAUUGGGUGUGAACCUUUGCCAGAGCCUGGGCUGCACCCAGAGAGGUGGGGACCGUCCUCAGCCCAAUGCGGGAGAAAGGCCCCAGACCUGUGUUCCCAUCUCUGAGGCCCCAGAGGGAGUUGGUGGGUGGGGAAGGGGCACCCUGCCACAGACCACCGUGCCCUGCACACUAUCCCGAGUGUGCUGGGCGUCACCCUGGGGAGGCAGGAGGAGCCCAGGCAGCCUCGCCUUGUGUCGAGAAGGUGACCCCUUCUCCACCUGCCCCUGGACACGCCCAGAGAGCUGAGGCCAAGACCUGCUGGCUCUCACUGAAGUCUCAGCCCUUCACGCUGGGUUCCCUUCAGUCCAGGCACCCAGGAGGGAAGGGCGCCCACCCCCCGCAGUGGCCUAACUCCGAGGCCACGCUGCUUGGGGUCCUCACUGGUGGGCGGUGUCUCAGAAGAGGCUGCCCACGCUCUCUCGGGUCCCACUUCAUCACGGGAGGCUCGGCCCAGGGAAGGUGGGUCCUGGAGGAGGGGAGGCUGGCAGACCUGCCCCUCUAGGCCCAAAAGGACUUUCUCCAAGCUGGGGCUGGGGGCCAGAACGCAUGACCCUGACCCCAGCCCCAACAGGGAAGACUAGGCGGGUCCCACAUUCCCCUGUUGGGCAGCCGUCCAGAAGGGCGAUGGGCAUUGAGCCCAACCCCACCUGUGCUCCACUGACUCGGGAUUAGGCUCCUGCCAGGUGGAAGACCCCCUCUCUUGGCAGCUAGCAAAGAACUAGGGAUCUGGAGCUUUCCAAAAUAAGCAGGUGAUGUCCCAGGCAUCGCGCCGGGGAACUGUAGGUCCCUUCCAAGGUCCUGGGUGCUGACCGCUGGGUCCUGAGCAGCUCUAACCCUUGGAGCCACACCACCAGCUCUGGUUCUGACGUGGGCAGUUACAGUGUCCUGUGGCACCUGCAGCCCUGGAGAGAGAAUGCUCUUCUGCUUUGCCUGGAGGAAGUCGCACCUUACGACUCCUGCUGAGGGGGCACGAGGGCGGAACAGGACACCUGUGCUCCUGGGAGGACAGAGGGUUGCUCCUGGCCGCACACCGCCGGCUCCCUUGCCAGGCACUGCUGGUCCGGAAGAUUCCAUCUGCCCAGCCCACCCCAGCAGGGGUCCGUGCCGCUGGGCAGCGCCUGCUCCAGACUCCAAUGCUUUGCUGGCUGUUGGCCCCUUCCCACCUUGGAGUCGGUCCUUCCCAACCCAGAGCGCCAGGUCGGCUUGCCUUCCCUCCUCCAGGGCCAACCUUCCCGGGCUCUGUCCCCACGCCUGCUGACAGGAGUCAGAUCGCCCGGGAGAGGGGGCUUCUCCAUGGCCCGCCCUGGGACCCCCAACACCCCAUUUCCUGGACUCAGGUUCUGCUGCCGGGAACAGAAAAGGGGUGUGGGUGAGGGCUGGGGCUUACUGACUAAAGAACUGCACGACCUGAAAGUUAAAAUUAUGUUUUAUCUGGUGGGCUUUCUGAGGACGUCAAGCCGGGAGGCAGAUGGCUCUGAAGGACUGCCCCGAGAGGUCGGGGAGGAGCCAGGACACAGGGGAGCUUUGUAAGACGCCAGGCGGUCGGCACAUCAAAGAUUACUGUUCAUUAAGAUCAACUACCUCGAGGGAAGGAAUUUCAGGUGUCUCUGUGUCUGGGAAGAUGCCAGAGUCUGGGCUCCUUGGAAUCCUUCCUGUGAUGUGCAGCUGAGCUCCUAGGGCCAGUGUCCGGGCUCUCCCCGCCUGAGCCCCUCAGGGCUCAGGGCUCAGGGCUCAGGGCUCAGGGUCCCGGGUGGCUGCCGUGGCUGAGGACUGGGUGGCUGCAACAUCCUUUGCUUACGGACACGGCAGGUGAUAUCGUCCACUCACAGGAGGGCCCGCAGCUGGGGUCAGGUGGCGGGGAGGAAGGGGCAGGCGAUGGCCACCCCAGCUCACACCGCACCUGCCCAGCUGGUUGUGGGCAGGGUCUGCCCCGGGGCCACCCCGUGCCCACAAGCCUGGAGGCCACGGCAAAACCGGACGGGGGGCUGAUUUCCAGGGCAGGGGGGUCUCCUCCACCUGAAAAGCAGGGACCGCCGGGGCCGUCCCUCCACAGGUGGACCAAGGGCUCCUGCAGCCCUCCCACUGACGGGGACCCCGGGGUUGAGGGCUACGGACCACCAAAUGCAGCCUCAUGGUGGGGUCUCAGACAGCCCCAGAGCCCCCGGGACGUGGGGCUGACACCCACCUCACACGCUGGGACCAGCGGGGACUCACUUUCUUCAGUCCCUGCAGACCUCACUCUAGCAACCAGUCAGCUGCGACGUGAGCCUCAAAGCCUGCUGGCCCCACUCCCAGCUCUGAAACAGCCCUGUAACUUCUCAGGAAUGUCUUUGUCUUUGUAACCCCCACCGUGUUUACUUCCCUCGGAGCACAUUUGACUUGCUACUCGAAUGUGUGCCUCCCAGUUGCAGAUCCUAAAGCUCCCCCAAAAAGCCUUUUCUCUCUUUUGCAGGCUUCUGCGGGCUUUCUCUCUCUCUCUGUCUCGUUUUUUUUUUUUCUCGACAGGCAAGGGAGUUGGACCGAGCACAGCCCGCCCCCACAGGGCCCAUCUUGGGCCGGGGCUCAGGCCCCUGGGCAGCAGAGCAGGAGGGAGAGGUGGGGCUGGGCUGUCUCAGGGGCAGGCGGGAGCUCUCAGCAGGGCGCCCUCCCCAGGUGAGAACACAGCAGCCUCACACAGGAACGCCGGCUUUUAUUCAGCUGUAGACGGGGGUGUGUAUAAACUGCUGUGAAGGGGUGGCCGCGGGCAGCUACUAGUAUCCUCCAUACUCCUUUAUGAUCUGUGAAACCGCCUGGAAAAUCAUCAG